rnacentral:rRNA from 1 species
UGCCAGCCGCCGCGGUAAUACGUGUGUGGCGAGCGUUGUUCGGAAUUACUGGGCAUAAAGCGUUUGUAGGCGGAUACAGAAGUUAGGUGUGAAAUCCCGGAGCUCACCUCCGGAACUGCAUCUAAAACUUUGUAUCUGGAGUCCUUAAGGGGAAAGCGGAAUUCCAGGUGUAGCGGUGAAAUGCGUAGAUAUCUGGGAGAAGGCCAAAGGCGAAGGCAGCUUUCUGGUGAGUGACUGACGCUGAGAGACGAAAGCUAGGGUAGCGAACGGGAUUAGAUA